rnacentral:rRNA from 1 species
CCUACGGGUGGCAGCAGUGAGGAAUAUUGGUCAAUGGGCGUAAGCCUGAACCAGCCAAGUCGCGUGAGGGAUGAAGGAUCUAUGGAUCGUAAACCUCUUUUAUAAGGGAAUAAAGUGCGGGACGUGUCUAGUUUUGCAUGUACCUCAUGAAUAAGGAUCGGCUAAUUCCGUGCCAGCAGCCGCGGUAAUACGGAGGGUCCGGGCGUUAGCCGGAUUUAUUGGGUUUAAAGGGUGCGUAGGCGGCCUUUUAAGUCAGCUGUGAAAUUUUGUGGCUCAACCAUAAGAGUGCAGUGGAAACUGGAAAGCUUGAGUACGGGUGAGGCAGGGGGAAUGCGUGGUGUAGCGGUGAAAUGCUUAGAUAUCACGCAGAACCCCGAUUGCGAAGGCAGCCUGC